GGCCGCCAGUUGCACAUCCCUGAUUGCCUCCUCCCAGGACUCCGCUCCCUCAUGCCAGUUCGCCGCUGUCGCUGCUCUGCCUCGCGCCGCCCGCACGUCACCGCCACCGCCCAAGGUCGGAUCCGUCGUCGCCAUCUCCUCCUCGACCCCUCCUCCCUGAUGCCAGAGUCCAAAGAGGAGGAGGAUAGAGGGAGAGAGAGAGAGAGAGAGAGAGAGAGAGAGGAGGGGAUGGGUGAGAAAGAUGGAGGGAGAAAGUGGGCAUCUUGGUGGAUCUUGGCAUCUCGCCGCCGCAGCUCACUGCCGCUCCUGACAGUGUCCACUUGGUUAGUGCAGCGAGAGCUAUCCAUAUAUCUUCGUGCCAUUUCAACUAAUGGAAGACUUGUCACUGGGGUGUACUAACUCAUAGGCAUGGAUUCGUAGAGCUGUACUGGUCAUUGUUGCAGAUAACUUGUUUAGUUGAUCUUAUUCACGCCAUUUGUGUUUGUAAUUGCAUAGGUAAAAGCAAUGACGAAUUGGAUGGAGAUUCUUGCAGUAUGACUGUAUGAGUUAAUUUCGUUGAUCCCACAUUCUGAAAAGUGGGGAAGUUGAGAACUUUCACGAUUUUGAAGAUAAGAUCUUGCAUUUUUUGCACAGUUCUAAGUGUCCAAGAGCUGAGGUAUUUAAUGGCUGGAGUGGUCUUUGUUCCUGUUCGGCAACAAUGGUGGCUUUGGUUCGUCACGACUCAAGGCAAUACUCAUGAUGGUGGAUUAGCCAUAUUAGUCCCAAGAACUCCAAAUGGCUCCAGGAAAAUCUCAGCGACAUGGACACGAAAGUUAAAGAUGGCAAUUAAGAACAUGCUCAGUCUCAUGAAGAAGUUUGGAGGUUGACUAUGGAGAUAAAAAUGGCAAAUGAAAAGUUGAAUGAGCUCAAGCAGAUCAAGGAGGACCUUGAGAAAACUGUUUGUGAGCUGAAGAAGGAUGUUGAGAGCCUUACCAAACAAAAUAACGCCUCUGACUACCCGCUCGUCACCCAGGACGGUAAGCACAUAUGCGAUCUACUCCGCCCUCCAAUUCCGUGGUUGGAUCGAUCGCUCAAAGACGCGAUCUCUGAUACAAUUUGUUUGGUGCUUUCAUGGGUGCGAA